rnacentral:misc_RNA from 1 species
UGCCCUCCCCUACCCGAAAGGUGCAGAGGAGGGCAAUGAAUGACAGAAAGAAAAGGGCAAGGACCCUAGAAACCAAGAAGAAUCGAGAAAAUAUUCUCUCUUCAGAAACCCGUAAAGAGAGAGAGUAAAGAAGAGUGGCUUGCUAGUUGCUAGUACAGGAAAUGGUUGGAUGAUAAUUAUUUUCAGCAUGGCUGCCUUAAGGUGGAAAAUGGGAUAUUACUUUUGACAUGAUUUAUGGUGCGGGGAACUGCCCCACGAAG